UCGUGUAUAGUGUGUAUACCCCAAUUGUCGGCGAUUCGUCGUGCUUUUUCGAUUUCGUUACUCAAAUUUAUGGGUAUAUUAACUGAGCUGACUUAACUAAAUGUAAAACAUGUACGUGUAAUUGUGUUUAACAGUGUUUAAGGUGGAUUUUACGAAAAAGACAAUAAUUUCAUGGAUCGUUGACGUGUCCUCUCUCAUCAUGAAAUUUAGUUUUUCUCGAUGAUGUAGUUAGGUAAUUAUUGAUGAGAGGAUCGUUCGAGCUUUACCGCACUGCGGAAAUGCUAUUUCUCGUGCAACAAGCUACAUCAGAUUACUUAUUGAUGAGAAUUCCCAGGACUCUAACCAGCGCAAAGAAUGCAUGCGACUCUGUGGAUCACUUGCCGAUGGUCCCUCCAUUCCAUAUGACAAUGGAGAAAACAGAUAAAAGCUAAUGGAUGAAAGCCCCAAGUACAACAUGAUAAAGCGUUUUGCCGAUUCUAUCGGGCAGCAAUAACGUAAUAUUACUCAAGAUGUAGU